UACAGAGGGUGCGAGCGUUGUCCGGAAUCACUGGGCGUAAAGGGCGCGUAGGCGGCUCGGUAAGGUUGCGGUGAAAGCCCGGGGCUCAACCCCGGGUCGGCCGUGGCAACUGCUGAGCUAGAGCACUGUAGAGGCAGGUGGAAUUCCGGGUGUAGCGGUGGAAUGCGUAGAGAUCCGGAAGAACACCGGUGGCGAAGGCGGCCUGCUGGGCAGUGGCUGGACGCUGAUGCGCGACAGGCGUGGGGAGCAACAAGGG
rnacentral:rRNA from 1 species